UACGUAGGGGGCAAGCGUUGUCCGGAUUUAUUGGGCGUAAAGAGCUCGUAGGCGGUUUGGUAAGUCUGGUGUGAAAUCUCCACGCUCAACGUGGAGGGGCCACCCGAUACUGCCAUGACUGGAGUCCGGUAGAGGAGUGUGGAAUUCCCGGUGUAGCGGUGAAAUGCGCAGAUAUCGGGAGGAACACCGGUGGCGAAGGCGGUUCUCUGGGCAUUACCUGACGCUGAGGAGCGAAAGUGUGGGGAGCGAACAGG
rnacentral:rRNA from 1 species